UACGUAGGGUGCGAGCGUUGUCCGGAAUUAUUGGGCGUAAAGAGCUUGUAGGCGGUCUGUCGCGUCUGCUGGUGAAAAUCCGGGGCUCACCCCGGACUUGCAGUGGGUACGGGCAGACUAGAGUGUGGUAGGGGAGACUGGAAUUCCUGGUGUAGCGGUGAAAUGCGCAGAUAUCAGGAGGAACACCGGUGGCGAAGGCGGGUCUCUGGGCCGAUACUGACGCUGAGGAGCGAAAGCGUGGGGAGCGAACAGG
rnacentral:rRNA from 1 species